AGUUGGUCCGAAAGCUGUGGGUUAUCAUAUCUGUCUCCCCCACAACCAUGUUUGACUAACUUUGU
rnacentral:Y_RNA from 1 species